rnacentral:rRNA from 1 species
UACGGAGGGAGCUAGCGUUGUUCGGAAUUACUGGGCGUAAAGCGCACGUAGGCGGCUUUGUAAGUUAGAGGUGAAAGCCCGGGGCUCAACCCCGGAAUUGCCUUUAAGACUGCAUCGCUUGAAUCCGGGAGAGGUGAGUGGAAUUCCGAGUGUAGAGGUGAAAUUCGUAGAUAUUCGGAAGAACACCAGUGGCGAAGGCGGCUCACUGGACCGGUAUUGACGCUGAGGUGCGAAAGCGUGGGG